UACGUAGGGGGGCAAGCGUUGUCCGGAAUCAUUGGGCGUAAAGCGCGUGUAGGCGGCCCGGAAAGUCUGGUGUGAAAAACUUGAGGCUCAACCUCAAGCUGUCGCUGGAUACUGUCGGGCUUGAGUCCGGAAGAGGAGUGUGGAAUUCCUGGUGUAGCGGUGGAAUGCGCAGAUAUCGGGAGGAACACCGGUGGCGAAGGCGGCGACCUGGGUCGACACUGACGCUGAGGCGCGAAAGCGUGGGGAGCAAACAGG
rnacentral:rRNA from 1 species